rnacentral:tRNA from 2 species
GGGAGAUUAGCUCAGCGGUAGAGCGCUUCGUUCACAUCGAAGAUGUCAGCGGUUCAAAUCCGUUAUCUCCCACCA